CAGGACUCGUCGUCAUCUGGAAGUAGCCAGUAUGGUGGGCAGGGUUCAUCUUCUUCAGGAGGCAGCCAGCCUGGUGGACAGGGUGCAUGUGAUUGUUCUGGGGGAAGUUCUGGUGGAUCCCCUACCUUAGUCAGAAGUGAUGCCUCUGCAAAUG